UUUAGCACCCUGCAGCCUCGCAGUGGGCAGGAGACGCCCCGCCGCCCCGAGCUGAGUUCAUCUUCCCGAAACCCCCGGAGCCGCGGGCAUCUCACCACGCUGCUCUGAGAAUAGCCCGGGAGCAACAGGGCCGGCGGCUGGUUUCUGCAUCAAUUCUCCUCCCCCUAGUAACGGCUCUGAAAACGCGGAGACACGGAGAGCAGAAAACGAAAUUUUAAUGUACUGUGGCGUGAACUUCUGGAAAAGGGUCUCCAGCACAAGAACUCAGUUCAAUGACUUAAAAUAAAUGGGCGGGGUUGGAGGGGUGGGGGCAGAAGAAACUAGCUGCUUAAGAGUAACGGGAGCACUGAAGAAGGAUUCCUGCAGAAAGCGAGCCGCCGAACAUGCUGUUUAUUGCACUUAAGGCACCUGAGCAUGUUGGUGUGGACGCGCUGGCUUGUUGAAUUUUCCUUAUUUUUCUUUUUAAAGGUAUUUUUCCCUCCUUCUUUCUCCAUGGUGACAGCCAUUUUGCCACCAGGGAAGGAAUAUGGAACACCACCUAUGAUUCUCUGCAUGGACCGUGGCUCUGCCUUCACUUCUGCUGACCCCUUUGCUCAGAAUUCAUGUAUUUGUGUUUUUCACUUGGCUGACUUCGUCUCAAAUAAAGCCAAGAAGAAUCAUCAUCUCUUCCAGGAAGGUUUCUCUACCUAUCUCCCUGUCCCGCCCUCCACCUCCUUGCCCCAGGUUUUCCUCCUUUUAUGAUCUCUUGGCAUUUGUGGCCUGCUUAAUAAUCAAACCCCAUAUUCUAUUAUGAUUAAUAGGUUCCUAUUGUCUUAGAACUAGUAUUGAAGAGUUCUUAUUAUGUGUGGGACCAAUUCCUAGAUCUGGGGCGCAUCUCUUCCUGGAAUUGCUGUUUGACAAAGGGCUGUUUUGCAAACUCAAGCAUCUA
rnacentral:lncRNA from 1 species